ensembl:lncRNA
CACCUCACUAAUGAAAGUGUUUCAAGGCUGAGUUUUCCUUUAAAACCCAUCAAUCAUUACUGAUCCCUAAAACCGGAGUUGGAACCACAGGCCCCGCCCACAUUCGGAAGGCAUUGCGCGAAUGCGCGUGCUUUUCUCCUGCGAGGACGCGCACUCGAGUAAUGCUGUGUAGAGCUGGAGCUGAACUGUCCCAUACCGAGUACAGAGACUUGCGAGCAAGCUGUCCCAGACCAAGACUUCCAAGCUCUCGCAUUACAUUUCUGGAAGAAGAUAUCCUGUAAGGACUUUUAUCUGUUAUCCCACAAUGAGUGGAGGCAAAAAAGGCGCAGCAGGAAGGCUAAGCGGGAACGCGUCCAGGAGACCGAGUUACCCGGCUGAGCAGUGGAUCAAUCAGGCCAAGUCAAGCACCAAGGUGUGGGUUAAGGUUGCAAUGGGCAUCGCUUACUUUCUCUGCGUUUCCGUCGCUGCCGCCUUCUUAGCGAUUUACUACGUUUUCUUCUGGACUCCGGAGGCGUCAAACUCCACUAACGUGGCAGAGCUUAAUAAAAGACUGGACUGUGCAGGAAACCAAACACCUGCUGGGAAAUAGCAGCACCCAAGAGGAACAUUUAACACGCACGAAACUUCUUUUACUGCAUUCAUUUUCUGCGGAAUUUCAAGUGGCAUUCAGUCUUUUGGACGUUUGAACUUACACUGAGAAUCACUGCAAACAUUUGUACAUGGCUUUAUAUUCAAUAUCUAUUCAAAAUGUGUUGUUCUUAUUGUUCAACUUGGCAAUAAGAUUAUUUAACCAAAUAUCUAUCUAUCUAUCUAUCUAUCUAUCUAUCUAUCUAUCUAUAUCUAUCUGUCUAUCUAUAAAUAAUAAAAUCUAUGCAUUUGCUCUUAAUUUUGUUUUUGUUUGUCCUGACUCUGCAUCCUACUGUAUCUCAGCCCUAGUAAGAACCUUUUCAUAUAUUUUACCUAAUAAACCGUACCUCGUGCUGUUUGUCAUAAAAAAUAAAUAAAAAAAAACUCAGGCAAUGUAAUAGGCUAAAUGUAGAAAUAUUGAAAAAAUAUAAAUAACCGUGACACUGAUG